UUCAUGACUGGGGUGAAGUCGUAACAAGGUAGCGCUAGGGGAACCUGGCGCUGGAUCACCUCCUUACACGAUGAU
rnacentral:rRNA from 1 species